rnacentral:lncRNA from 1 species
CUCACUAAUUGAGGAAAACGCAAGCGUUUUGAACGACAUUGAUACAGAGUCUUUUGCUGAGACUCCAUUACAUGUAGCGGCUUCUGCAGGGCAAAUUGCUUUUGCCGUAGAGAUGAUGAAUUUAAAGCCGUCGUUUGCAAGGACGCUGAACCAAGCUGGGUUUAGCCCCAUUCACUUAGCUUUACAAAACAAAAAAACCCUUUUUGUACAUCGACUCCUAGAGAUGGAUAAAGAUCUCGUUCGAGUCAAAGGGAGGGAGGGUAAGACUCCUUUUCAUUACGCUGCUGAACUAGGAGAGCCGGAAGAACUUUUGAACGAUUUUCUUGAAGCUUGCCCCGAAUGCAUUGAAGAUGUAACUGUUCAUGGUGAAACUGCUCUGCACAUCGCGUUAAAAUGUAACAAGCUUAAAGAGUUUAAAUCCUUGGUGCGAUGGAUACGAGGAAGCUGUCAUAAAGAUGCCAAACUGUGGGAAGAACGAAUCCUCAACUGGAAGGACGAGCAAGGCAACACUGUUCUGCACAUUGCAGCCUUGGAAAACCAACCAGAGGUUUGCUUUUCCAUUUAUCAGACUCCCAAUUGACUUGUAAUCAAAUUAAAAAACUAACUAGUUAUUAGUACAUCUUCUAUGAUUUGCACAGGCAGUAAGACUGCUGGUAAAGUGUCGUGACGUAGUUGAUGUGAACGCCAAGAAUUCGGAAAAUUUGACAGCACUGGAAUAUAUCUCAAAAUGCGAUGAAAACGAUGAAAGCACUGAAAACCAAAGGCCAGUGCCAAAUAGAUCAGAGAUUACUAAAAUCUUGCGAGCUGCUACACCUCGAAUGCAUCCCUUCAUGGCAAUCCUCGAUUUCGACGAGGAGUUAAUGUUACCUUAUGUUAAAAGGGUAAUCACACAUAUUGCUCGGAGAAGGGAGAACAUUUCAAAUGGCAUGCGCAACGCAUUGCUGGUAGUCAUUACGCUGGUUAUAACAGCCACUUACCAAUCCUCUUUAAGUCCACCUGGUGGUGUUUGGCAGGGAGAUAACAGUAAUACUUCAUCUAAAUCAAACUAUGCUAGCAUAAAUACCAGUAAUAGUAGCACCCUUGCCGGAGAACCGCAUGGUCCGGGGACAACCGUAAUGCAAAAAAAUACUUUUGUUGUGUUCUGGACUUACAACACAUUAACCCUAUUGACAACCCUUGGGCUAACAGCAUUUCUCCUCCCAGGUGGUUCUAUUGCUUUACUACUGCUCGUGCCACUUUCACUUUUGUGCUCGAGCUACAUGCUCUCCAUGAGCAUCUUAUCCCCGACUCCUUUUUGGUCAAAAGUGAAUACAAUUCUGUCAAUAGUCUUUAUUAUGUUGCUGUUAUUGCCGUAUCCUAGAUUGUUUAACGAGAGACGGCGAGCCCAAAUGAAGAGUGAAUUAUCUCCACGUGCGGUGCUAAAGUCGAAGAAAUUUUAUAUCAAAAUAUUCUUUUUUUUGGUUGCUGCAUUGUGCUUUACUGUAAUCAUGCUGCAAAAUUGGUUACAUUCGUAGAUUAGAAGUAUUUAGGACCCCAACCCUUUCUGAAGUCUAAUCUUAGCGUUGUGUUGUUUCUUAUCUAUUUAAUAAAAGAAGUUGGUAUUGUAAUUCUUGACUCUUCUAAAUACUAUAAAUGCAAGUGUCUUUGGCCUUUUUGAUGUUUGUUGUUUUUUGAUGCGUUCUCUCCUGCCGUCUUUUGGUUAGGGCAGGCUUGCUUUUUCGUUUUAAAUGUUUGCGGCUGUGAUAACUGCCACUUCUUUUUUGUGCAGUUAAACUUUUAUGUAUCAUGAUUUGUUAUCUCGAUUUUCAUGUCAAUGGGAAUCUUAGGUAAUUUCAACUUGAAAUUAAUAUUGGCAUAUGGGAUGUAUGACUAAUAAAAUUCCCUUAAAAAGAAAAGUUGGUUUUGAGAAUUAAAGUUUUCUUCUUGAGUGUAGCAUUUUUUAUUUGCCCAAAGUCUUUACUCGUAAAACCGUGGGGCAGGCUGAAACCCCAAAAGUCCACUGAAAACAUUUUUGGGGUUGAAAAUGGGACCCUUUUCUCCAGCAAACUUUACUAUUAUACCAACCCACCUAGCAAGGCUAUUACUCUAUUUAAUUUAGUGUAUUAAUUGAGUACAAAUUUGUACUCUUUCAUGUAUUGACAAAACCUUAAGUAACGAAAAUUAGAAUAUUAUUUUACUGCUUAUGGUAUCAUAUUGCCAAUCAAUAAAGAAAAUAGAGAUAAAUAUUUCAAAAUUUUCAGCAUAGUUUACUGCAAUGUUUAAUGAUAGCAUUCUAUUUUAAUUAGGUGCAAGGUCAACAUUUUCAUCUAAUUUUCGAUGGGAUAUCACCAAACCAUUACGCCCAACUUCAAUGCCCCUAAACCAUCCACUAGUGGUAUCCUUGUUCAUAAGAACACUUAUGGCCUCCACAACAAUAUUAAACUGCAUCGCUGACAAAGAGCAUCCUAGAAGCUGUGGGUUUGGCAACCACACAAUCUCCUCAAUGGCAAUAUUUACUUCAAAUGCUUUAAUCCAGGACAAGUAUUGCAUUUUAAUCACAAGAAACUAGUUCCAAUUUAUCCCUGUUUUUCCAUAAAAUAUAUUGUAAUUCCAAAAACUACUAACCGUCUCUUUUAGCAACACCAUUGAUCAUAUUGUCUUGACUUGAUAAAAGAUUCAACGGAGUUUGGUAUCUCGCAUUGGAAUCCCCACCACUCAAAAAUACAGCUCCAUAUAAUCCAAGAAUAGUGGCACGAGAUUGAAAUAUGAACACUGCCCUAAUUCAAAGCCACGUGAACAUAAGUCAUUAUCAUUUUCAAAGUAAAUAUCUGUAGCUCUCAAAAAGCUUGUGGCUGGAAUGUAGUUUAGGAGAGCUAACCAUAAAUUUUGGAGAGGAUAACGUUUUUCCAAACACAUAAACCAUACGUUUUUUUGUCUCCAUAGUUGACUGGCUUCCCAAGACAGCUGUGGCUUUCUCUACAGAAAAUGUUGUUAUCGCAUAAAGACAUAAGCUUCAACUUCAGAGGUCAAAAAUACCUCUCAUAUUCAGAUGGAGACAGCAGAUUUUAAGAGUGAUAUCAUUUUCGUAUAACAUAAUUAAUAUAUUUUAAGAGUAGAAAAAACCCUACAAUUUAUGUAUUAACUUAUGUAUUUAUUGUUCUAGGUUGAAAAGUGAGUCUGUUCAUCUAAUUAUUCUCUAUGGACGUUAUUAUGAUAUUUAGUAGGAUGCUGUUCAGGAAUGUCGUCAAAUUUCUUUUUGAGCGAUGACUAAUUUUUUUUCUUUUUGUAAUUGAGCAGUUUUUUUUUUUUUGCCCAUACUAGAUAUUAUAUACUCCAAACAAUCUUUUGCAAAUCAGCUAGAGACUUGCUGAUGGAAUAUUGGUAACGGUAAUAAAAUUAUUUUUACAAAAAUUGUCAACUUACCUUUUCUUGAAAUUAAUAUUGGCAUAUGGGAUGUAUGACUAAUAAAAUUCCCUUAUAAAGAAAAGUCGGUAUUGAGAAUUAAAGUUUUCUUCUUGAGUGUAGCAUUUUUCAUUUGCCCAAAGUCUUUACUCGUAAAACCGUGGGGCAGGCUGAAACCCCAAAAGUCUACUGAAAACACUUUUGGGGUUGAAAACGGGACCCUUUUCUGCAGCAAACUUUACUAUUAUACGAACCCACCUAGCAAGGCUAUUACUCUAUUUAAUUUAGUGAAUUAAAGGAAGUCAACUUCAAUGCCCCUAAACCAUCCACUAGUGGUAUCCUUGUUCAUAAGAACACUUAUGGCCUCCACAACAACAUUAAACUGCAUCGCUGACAAAGAGCAUCCUAGAAGCUGUGGGUUUGACAACCACCCAAUCUCCUCAAUGGCAAUAUUUACUUCAAAUGCUUUAAUCCAGGACAAGUAUUGCAUUUUAAUCACUAAAAACUAGUUCCAAUUUAUCCUGUUUUUCCAUAAAAAAUAUUGUAAUUCCAAAAUGUUAGGAUAGUCUUGAAUUGUGAUUUAAUUAGAAUUGUUUAAUUCUAAUUAAAUUAGUAUACUUUAUUAAAUAGUCUUUAAAUCUGGUUAGACUAGAAUAAUAAUUUCUAAUUAUAUUAAGAUAAGGUUAUUAUAUUUGACACUAUAAAAGGACCCUAUGGGGUUAAAGAAUAAUAAUCACCUAGAUUUAGAGAGAGUGAUUUAGGUGUACGUAGGAUAAGGGUUGUAAGUUUGAGACUGUUCUUGUAAUCUCCUAAUUUUUCUCUUAGUGAAUUUUUUUCUGUUGUUGUGCCCGUGGACGUAGGUCAUCAAAAGACCGAACCACGUAAAUUCUUGUGUUCUUGUCGGUGUGCUUGAUUUCUUUCUUUUUUUUUUUCUAUUGAUUGGGUUAGAUCUUGGGCAAUUCUUUAGAGAAAAUUCUAUAAUUUUCCAACAAAAUGGUAUCAGAGCUUCAAGGUCUUAAGUCAAUUUGAAUCUCGCUAUGACAACUUCGUCGACCAAGUAUGAGAUUGAAAAGUUUAAUGGAAGAAACGAUUUCAGCUUGUGGCAUGUUAAAAUGCGUGCAUUACUAGUGCAACAAGGACUGUUGAAGGCACUGAAGGGAAAAGAGCAUCUUCCCUCGAAUUUAUCUGAUGGUGAGAAAGAUAACCUUAUGGAAAAAGCACAUAUUGUUAUUCUCUUAGUUUUAUCUGAUAAGGUGCUAAGAGAAGUCACGGAUGAAGAAUCUGCUGCUGCAGUGUGGCUUAAACUCGAAAGUAUUUAUAUGACCAAAUUCCUGACGAAUCGGCUUUAUAUGAAGCAACGAUUAUAUACUCUCAAGAUGAGUGAAGGUAUGUCCGUUAAUAUCACAUUUAUGAAUUGGAUAGAGUUAUUCUUGAUUUAAAUAAUAUCAAUGUUAAAAUUGAGAAUGAAGACCUAGCCUAAUUCUUUUAUGUUCUUUGCCUCUAUCGUAUGAAAACUUCGUGGAUACUAUGUUAUAUGAUCGAGACACUCUCACUUUCGAUGAUGUAAGAGCAUCUUUAAAUUCCAAAGAAUUGAAGAAGAAAGUUGGUGGUAUCCAGAAUGAAAAUCAAGCAGAAGGUUUGGUUGUGAAUAGAGGAAAAAAUAGAGAGAAGGGUAUAGACAGAAAAGGUAAAUCUAAAGCAAAAGGGAAAACUUGCUAGAAUUGUGGUCAGAAAGGACACUUUCAUCAAGACUAUACCAAAUUCAAGGAUGAUGAAAAGAUCAACAAAUCUGUGAAUACUGCAAAUGUGGUUGGAGAUGACUUUGAUACUUUUGAAGAAAUUGAUAAUAUUCUUGCAAUUACCAACGAUAACUUGAUGGAUAUAUGGAUCUUGGAUUUGGCUUGUUGCUUUCAUAUAUGUCCUAGGCGUGAUUCGUUUACAACUUAUCAAUCUGUUGAUAUGGGCACUGUAUAAUUAGGAGAUGAUUUCUCUCUCUCAAUUGUUGGGAUUGGCACAAUUCGAAUCAAGAUGUUUGAUGGUAUGGUAAGAACACUUGAGGUAAAACAUGUCCCUGACAUGAAAAAAAAUUUGAUAUCCUUGAGUUUGUUAGAUAAGAAGGGCUACAAAUAUAGUGGCCAAGAUGGUGUCUUGAAUGUAUCUAAAGGAACCUUAACUAUCAUGAAGGGCAAGUUAUCCGGUGACCUUUAUUGUCUAAUGAGAAACACGUUCAUUGAAACUGUUUCUGUGGUCUCAUCUAAUGAUCCUGAAGAUGAUGUAACACACUUAUGGCAUAUGAGAUUGGGUCAUAUGAGCAAGAGAGGGAUUAAAAAACUGAGUAAGCGUAGUUUGCUGUGUGGUCAAAAGAUUGAAAAGCUAGAUUUCUAUGAGCAACAUAUAGUGAAAUUUAGCACUAUAACUCAUCAAACCAAGAGUACAGUGAACUACAUCCAUUCAUAUUUGUGGGGUCCUUCUUCAGUGGCAUCAAAAGGUGGAUCAUUAUACAUGUGGACCUUUAUUGAUUAUUUUUCAGGAAAAGUGUGGACGUAUCUUCUGAAGGCUAUGAGUGAAGUGUUAACCACCUUUUUGCAUUGUAAGGUAUUGAUCGAGAAGCAAACUAAGAAAAGGAUCGAAAGCUUUCGAACAAACAAAAGUUUAGAAUUUUGCAAAGGUGAGUUUGGUCUAUUCUACAAGAAUGAAAAAAAUCGUUAGACAUUGCACUGUCAUUAAAACACCACAUCAAAACGGUAUCGUAGAAUGGAUGAAGAAAACACUUUUGGAGAGAGCAAAAUACGUGUUCUCUAAUAUUGGCCUAACCAAAUUAUUAACCUUUCCCAGUUUAUAAUUCAAAAAGCUUUGCUUCCAACAAUCUCUUAACCUUGAAGCACCAACCACUAAGAAGGAACUCAAAGCCACUGUCUGGAGUUGUGAUGGUUUUAAAGCCCUAUGACCUAAUGGUUUUAACUUCAACUUCAUUAAGAGUAGUUGGACUUUUAUCAAGAAAGAUCUUUUCGACUUUAUCUCUGACUUCAUGUUCACUGGUAAAUUGGAAAAAGGUUUUAACUCCUCUUUUAUCGCAUUGAUUCCCAAAGUCUAGAGUCCUUCGUCACUCAGUGAAUAUCGGCCCACCAGUCUUGUUAAUUCUCUCUACAAAAUUCUCACCAAGCUUCUCGCCAAUAGGCUUAAGGCAGUUAUAUCCUCGGUAGUCAGUGAUAGUCAAAGUGCCUUUAUUAGCAGCUAUCAAAUCACUGACGGGAUCAUGCUAGCCAAUGAAGUUAUCCAUAGUAUGCGCAAAAAUCUUCACAAUGAGGGUGUAUUGUUCUUAAACUCGACUUUGAGAAGGCUUUUGACCAUGUGGAUUGGGGGUACAUUUCUCUUGUCAUACAGGCUACAGGCUUUGGUCAUCAAUGGUGUAGCUGGUUUUAUGAGUGCAUUUCAAUGGUCUGAGUUUCCAUUCUUGUCAAUGGUUCAGCCACGCCCGAAUUUCCCAUGAAGCACGGCCUUCGACAAGGGGAUCCACUCUCUCCUUUUUUGUUUAUCAUGGUAAUGGAAACUCUUCAUCUUUUUCUAGUAAAGGCUGAAGCGUUGAACUUUAUCGGAGGCAUCACCCUCACUUCUUUCAAAAUUUUUAUCUCUCACCUAUAGUUCGCGGACGAUACCAUUCUGUUCUUGCGUCCUAAUAUUCAGGACGCAAUCAACAUUAGACGCAUUCUGCAGUGCUUUGAGCUAGCCUCUGGUCUCCGUAUUAACUUUCACAAAUCUUGUGUUUAUCUAGUGGGAAUAACGUCUUUUGUGGGUGAAGAAUUCUCUACUGUUCUCCAGUGUCGGACAGGCUCUCUGCCCUUCACGUAUCUUGGUAUUCCCCUUGGUGCUAACCCAAGAAGCAUCUCCACAUGGGAUCCUGUUGUUUCUAACUUUAAAAGGCAACUUGCAUUUUGGCAAAGAAAGUAUCUCUUUCUUGCUAGCAGGAUCACACUAAUCAACUCAGUCUUAAAUUCACUACCUCUUUAUUAUAUCUCUGUCUUUCACCCAUCUAAAGGUGUCAUACACAAGCUCAAGCAACUACGAUGCUCCUUCUUAUGGGGUGGAUCUACGGCUAAGCGCAAGAUGUCCAAAGUCAAUUGGUCCACUAUUUGUAAGCCCAAAAGAUUUGGUGGGUUAGGAAUCUCUAGCCUUUCUCAUAAGAAUCUCGCCUUUCUAGCCAAAUGGUGGUGGCGUUAUGGAACUGAUAAGGAAGCUUUAUGAAGACGUUUGAUUGUUGGUAAAUACGGGAUUGGUGACAGUCAUUGGACUACUUUUGUUUCUAACAUGUCGAGAAUGUCAUCGAUUUGGAAAAGCAUCAUCAAGCUCCCAUCCAAUGAAGGGGUUCAUAACCUGAUUGGUUUUCAUGCUUGGCACUGGAUCGUAGGGGAUGGUACCACUAUCCUCCUAUGGCUUGAUAAAUGGCUUAAGGACCUGCCCCUUUCAUCCAAGUAUCCUCGCCUUUUCUCGUUGGCUACAGAUAAGGACAUUCGAGUCGCUAAUGCCAAGUCUAAUGGGUCCUGGUCUCUUAUUUUCAGACAGGCAUUUUUUUCUUGGGCAAAGUCAAACUAUGAGGAACUUUUGCGUAAACUCUAUUCUAUUUUUCUUGUGCUGGGCAGGAAGGAGAAACUUGUAUGGAAGCAUGACUCUCAAGGGAACUUCUCCGUGAAAACUUUCUGUUCUAGGCUAAAUACCUCUAAUGAUGAUCAUAUGGUAUGGUUUCAAUCUUUAUGGAAUCUAUCUAUCCCUCCUAAACUUUAGUGCUUCCUAUGGCUUGCAGUCCUUAACGCAAUUCCUACAAAGACUUUUCUCUUCUCUCGUGGUGUUCAUUUUAAUUUUGAUCAGCUGUAGUGCAUUUGGUGCAGUCUUGAUAAAAGGACUUGCUUGCACAUCUUUCUCACAUGCAACUUCAGUUGGCUUAUCUGGGGUUUUGUUUUUCGAUGGUGGGGUGUUGAUUGGUGUGUCCCUUCCACCAUUCCCAAUUUUAUUCAAGCUUGGUCCCUUUGUUCAUUCGGUGGUGAUGUUUCUAAAAGAUGGAUGAUCGUUUGUGGCGCUACUUUAUGGUCAUUAUGGCUUGCACGUAAUGAAUCCGUCUUCAAUUCCAAGAUUUAGGAUGGUCUCCAAAUCAUUUUUCUCAUUAAGUUGCACUCUAUGUUUUGGAUUAAAGCAUGUGAAGGCAAUGAUGCCAUUGAUGAAAUUGGUUGGUGGUCUGAUCCACAAAAUUGCUCGUGUCAGAGAACCCCCUUCCACCUUCGACUUGGCAUUUCAUGGUCACCACCUCCCAUUAGCAUGUUCAAAUUUCAUGUUGACGGCUCAACCAGAGGUCAGUUAGGACCUGCUGGUUAUGGUGGGGUUUUGCACAACUCGGACGAUUUUGUACUAGGAUUGUUCUUUACUCCACUCGAUUUACGUGACUCCAAUUAUGCGGAAUUGAUGGGUAUCUUGCAUGCUUUUCACCUCGUUUCUGUCUCCACUUACUCCUAUUCCCAUUUAAUUGUUGAAUUGUAUUCAAGGGUUGCUUUAUCCUGGAUUAAUUGUGUCGAACGAAGACCUUGGGAUAAAUGCACAUCUUCAACGAAAUCGACUCACUACUGCUUUCCGUCGGUAAUGUGUCCUUCACUCAUGUCUUUAGAGAAGGCACUUCAUUCGUUGACUCCUUAGCCAGGUAUGGUACUAAUGUUUCUACUCCCUUCUCUGCUUAGUGGUGAACCCGUAAGUUGCUGUAUGACUCUUAUGCUGCAGUCUUUCUUUAUGCUCCAUUGUUAGUCUUAUUUUUAUGUUGCUUUGAGCUCCCUCUUUAUGUUGAUGUUCUCCUCUUUUUGAUGCUUCUUGUUAGUCUUUUUGUCACAACAACUUGCCAACUGUUGCUUGUAGAUGCUUGUACUUAUUGACCUUUUGGCUUGCAUUCACUGUAGUCUAAGUGAUCUUAAUGAAUAUUUAUUUUGGCUGAGCAAAAAAAAAAAUUUAAGUGUUAACCUUUUAAGUCAAAUCGAUUUGGAUUUAAAUGAAUUGUUUGAAUUCGAAUAAUUUUGAGUUGGUUAUUCGGGUUGUUUGGGUUCAAGUAGUUUUGAGUUCAGAUCAAUUUAAAUUCAAAUUAUUUUGAAUUCAAGUCCUUUUCAACUUUGCAUCUUGCAAGUUCAGAUUGUUGAUUUUAUUUUUGUCAAAAUUAAUUUUAUCGGGUUUGAGUUUGAGGUCAAGAUUAGCUAUGCCAAUUUUAGUUAAAAUUGUUUGUAGUGCAAGGAAAUAUGUAUUUUUUGGGAAAAUUUAAGGAAAGAAAUUUGAAAUAAAUACAUUGUCUCCUCUAAAGUUUAAUGCAAAUAGUGCAUUAAAUGUAAAAACACAUUCUAAAGUAAUAUUUUUAACUAUCUUAUUUUUUUUAAUGAAGAUAGUUUUAUUGGCCUCUCCAACCAGCAUGCCAUUGUAAGUCUCUAACCAAAGCGGAGAAGACUUGCUAUGGCAUAACUAUUUCAUGGUUAAUUUGGGCAAAAUAUAGCCUGUGCAGUUACAAAAUGAUCCUACGACUCAAAAAACGACAUGGGCAUAUACCCACAGAUUUAUAAAAACCGCUAUCAAUAAUCAAAGCUCAACUAAUCCAAGUACCUAACAUUUGCCUUCUAUCUUUUCAACAUAAAUUUUAAUCGAUGCCUAUUUAACAAUUCCACUGGCCCUUGUAGCGAGGGCUUUUCACCUACCCCCUUUAUAUCUUUUAGUUUACAAUUUUACAAUUUACAAAUUUAAUUAUUUAGAGAUAUUAUUAAUUUUUACAACGUAAAAGGGUUCUCAUACCCCGAGGAAUAGUUUAGUAAGAGCAAUUUUGUUUUUCCUAAAAAAAAUUGUAGGAGAAGAAGAAGUUUGGUAACAACGACUUCCUGCCUCUUACCAACCUUGUUGCUGCCGUGAUUAGGACCAAGAAGUCUUGUUGUAUACAUAGGAACAAGCCAUUACCAUUUCCUUCAUAUCCUUUCCACUCUAACUGCAAUAUAUUGGUGAUCAAUUCCUGAAUCUAACUAAUUAUUUCCAUUCUCCACGAUAUGGAUCCGAGGUUGAGGGAGGCUGCUCAAACAGGAGAUUUUAACUACUUCUACUCACUAAUCGAGGAAAACGCAAGCGUUUUGGAGGACAUUGAUACAGAGUCUUUUGCUGAGACUCCAUUACAUGUAGCGGCUUCUGCAGGGCAAAUUGCUUUCGCCGUAGAGAUGAUGAAUUUAAAGCCGUCGUUUGCGAGGACGCUGAACCAAGCUGGGCUUAGCCCCAUGCACGUAGCUUUACAAAACGAAAAAACCCUUUUUGUACAUCGACUCCUAGAGAUGGAUAAAGAUCUCGUUCGCGUCAAAGGCAGG